rnacentral:rRNA from 1 species
AGUGAACGCUGGCGGUAGGCCUAACACAUGCAAGUCGAACGGCAGCACAGUAAGAGCUUGCUCUUACGGGUGGCGAGUGGCGGACGGGUGAGGAAUACAUCGGAAUCUACUUUUUCGUGGGGGAUAACGUAGGGAAACUUACGCUAAUACCGCAUACGACCUACGGGUGAAAGCAGUGGAUCUUCGGACCUUGCGCGAUUGAAUGAGCCGAUGUCGGAUUAGCUAGUUGGCGGGGUAAAGGCCCACCAAGGCGACGAUCCGUAGCUGGUCUGAGAGGAUGGUCGGCCACACUGGAACUGGGGCACGGUCCAGACUCCUAAGGGAGGCAGCAGUAGGGAAUAUUGGACAAUGGGCGGAAGCCUGACGCAGCCAUGCCGCGUGGGUGAAGAAGGUCUUCGGGUUGUAAAACCCUUUUGUUGGGGAAGAAAAGCAGCAAGUUUAAAACCCGCUGUUCUGACGGUACCCAAAGAAAAAGCCACGGCUAACUUCGUG